CCUUGAACUCUGCUCUGCUCUGCGAGGUGCGAGCAUCCCGGCCGUCAGCUUGAGGGAGGAGGAGAUCUCUCCACGCGCGAUGGAUGCAGCCGACGGCGGACCUACUGAGCCUGGAGUCGGACAGGUGAGCGGGAACGGAGAGGGUGAGGAGCCUGGCUGUGGACUGUGCGGCAGGAGGCAUCCCCGGGGACAGCGUGGGGGAGAGAGGUAUCGGUACGGGAAGCGGUUAACAUACUGUCGCACGGGAUCCCCGCAAUCACAAUGCUGAUGCCGGAAUCCUGCUCAGCGGUACAAUGACGGCGCAGAAAUACGGGCGAGAAAUAACAUCAUUGAAUGCCUUGGAGCUACUAACUCAUGGUUUCUACAUUAAUUUCACCAGCAGGUCAGAUUUAUAUUGAAAACAAUUUAAUAGACUAUAAAAAGGAAAUUACACUGAAGCAAGGAUACCACAAAAGAGAUUACGAGAGUUCUUUUUGACUAUAUAUAUUACUAAUGUCAUUAUUUGUGCAUUCCCAGUAACUGCUAGAAAAGCAAGUUGUUGUAUAUAUGAGCAUUAAUGUCAUUUUUGCUACGGCAUAACAGUAGAUUGCAAAUAAGCAUGUUAAAAUGGCAUUCAAGGACUGUGUCAUUUAUUUGGGAUUAAAGGGCAAUGAAAAUGUAACUGAUAAGAGUUUUCAGUAUACAUUUCAAAGAAUAUGAUUAUCAAAGAAAUCAUUUUGCAUCAUAUAAAAAAAUACAUAACCUAGUAUGGUAAACUAAUUUAUGUACAAAAAUCAGUUAUGCUUACCUGUAUCAGCUAUGAAGUGGAUUUUCCUAAAGUACUGUAUACCCAUCACUAUACUAAGGGGCGUAUUCAACUGGGACUUUUAUCCCACGCGCAAUAAGCCCAGAGGGUGAACUUUCCUCACAGCCUCAGGAGCUGUAAGAAAAGGUCCACAUUAAAUUGCACCCACGGGAUUUACUGAGAAUCUGCAUUUUAAACAGUAAAUCGAUUGUUGAAAGAGUAUAUGACUCCAUGGGGGCAUUCACUUGUGCCUCGCGACCCCUGCUGCCGUCUAUGGUAAUAGGUGUCUAUCAGUGCAAUUCAAUUGUUGCUCUGAUCAGGUGCCCAUUAGCAGCGGCAGUCACAUUUUUUCUCUCAGCCUCCGGGGGUGCAAGAAAAAAACCCUAAGGAAAGUCCAUAGUUUCGGUGCCUAAAGCGCCCAAACCCGGACUUUAGACACCUAACAGAGAUCUUUAGACGGGUUAGGCACGUUGUGCCGCUAAACCUGGUGCUUUCAGAUGCGUUAAAUGUUAAUGAGUGUAUGAUCAGAGCAACAAUUUAAAUGCUCUUAUUGGCGCCCAUUACUAUAGAUGGCCAGCAGGGGCAUGUGGUAGGACAAUUGGAUUCCACCUAUGUUUUGAAUAAAAAUUGGUUGAUAAUUGAUAAUUGUGGGCACGCGACUGUUUAACUGUUGAUACUUGUAUGUAAAUGUUUAUUUGUUUUGCAUGGAUCUCUGCGCUGGUCAUUAUGC